rnacentral:rRNA from 1 species
CCUACGGGUGGCAGCAGUGGGGAAUAUUGGACAAUGGGCGAAAGCCUGAUCCAGCCAUGCCGCGUGUGUGAAGAAGGCCUUCGGGUUGUAAAGCACUUUCAGUGGGGAAGAAAGCCUUGGGGCUAAUACCCUCGAGGAAGGACAUCACCCACAGAAGAAGCACCGGCUAACUCCGUGCCAGCAGCCGCGGUAAUACGGAGGGUGCGAGCGUUAAUCGGAAUUACUGGGCGUAAAGCGCGCGUAGGCGGUCUGAUAAGCCGGUUGUGAAAGCCCCGGGCCCAACCUGGGAACGGCAUCCGGAACUGUCAGGCUAGAGUGCAGGAGAGGAAGGUAGAAUUCCCGGUGUAGCGGUGAAAUGCGUAGAGAUCGGGAGGAAUACCAGUGGCGAAGGCGGUCUUCUGGACUGACACUGACGCUGAGGUGCGAAAGCGUGGGUAGCAAACAGGAUUAGAUACCCGAGUAGUC